rnacentral:rRNA from 1 species
GACGAACGCUGGCGGCGUGCCUAAUACAUGCAAGUCGAGCGGAUUGAUUUGGAGCUUGCUCCAAUGAUGUCAGCGGCGGACGGGUGAGUAACACGUGGGUAACCUGCCUGACAGACUGGGAUAACGCUUGGAAACGAGCGCUAAUACCGGAUAGGCUCUUUGACCGCAUGGUUGAAGAGGGAAAGAGGCUAUCGCCUCACUGUUAGAUGGACCCGCGGCGCAUUAGCUAGUUGGUGAGGUAAUGGCUCACCAAGGCGACGAUGCGUAA